GUUGUAGCUCAGUGGUAGAGCAUUUGCCUCACUCAUGAGGCUCUCGGUUCGAUCCUCAGCGAAACA
rnacentral:tRNA from 1 species